GACGAAGGUGGCAAGCGUUACUCGGAAUUACUAGGCGUAAAGCGUGGGCAGGCGGUUUGGUAAGUCUGUCGUGAAAGCCCCGGGCUCAACCCGGGGAGGUCGAUAGAUACUGCCAGACUUGAAUGCAGGAGGGGAGACUGGAAUUCCUGGUGUAGCGGUGAAAUGCGUAGAUAUCAGGAGGAACACCAAAGGCGAAGGCAGGUCUCUGGACUGCUAUUGACGCUCAUCCACGAAAGCUGGGGGAUCAAACAGG
rnacentral:rRNA from 1 species